UGGUGGGGUGACUUGUCUGCUUAAUUGCGAUAACAAACGAGACCUUAACCUGCUAAAUAGCCCGCAUUGCUCCGGCAGUGCGCUGGCUUCUUAGAGGGACUUUCGGCUCAAGCCGAAGGAAGUUUGAGGCAAUAACA
rnacentral:rRNA from 1 species